rnacentral:rRNA from 1 species
UACGAAGGGGGCAAGCGUUGUUCGGAUUUACUGGGCGUAAAGCGCACGUAGGCGGUUUGUUAAGUCAGGGGUGAAAUCCCACAGCUCAACUGUGGAACUGCCUUUGAUACUGGCAAGCUAGAGUCCGGAAGAGGUAAGUGGAACUCCUAGUGUAGAGGUGGAAUUCGUAGAUAUUAGGAAGAACACCAGUGGCGAAGGCGGCUUACUGGUCCGGAACUGACGCUGAGGUGCGAAAGCGUGGGGAGCAAACAGG